rnacentral:rRNA from 1 species
AUUGAACGCUGGCGGCAGGCCUAACACAUGCAAGUCGAACGAGUGGCGGACGGGUGAGUAAUGUCUGGGAAACUGCCCGAUGGAGGGGGAUAACUACUGGAAACGGUAGCUAAUACCGCAUACCAUCGGAUGUGCCCAAAUGGGAUGAGCUUGGAGGUGAGGUAACGGCUCACCUAGGCGACGAACCCUAGCUGGUCUGAGAGGAUGACCAGCCACACUGGAACUGAGACACGGUCCAGACUCCUACGGGAGGCAGCAGGGGGUAAUAUUGCACAAUGGGCGCAAGCCUGAUGCAGCCAUGCCGCGUGUAUGAUGAAGGCCUUGGGGUUGUAAAGUCCUUUCAGCGGGGAGGCGUUACCCGCAGAAGAAGCACCGGCUAACUCCGUGCCAGCAGCCGCGGUAAUAC